GACGAACGCUGGCGGCGUGCCUAAUACAUGCAAGUCGAACGCUUCUUUCCUCCCGAGUGCUUGCACUCAAUUGGAAAGAGGAGUGGCGGACGGGUGAGUAACACGUGGGUAACCUACCCAUCAGAGGGGGAUAACACUUGGAAACAGGUGCUAAUACCGCAUAACAGUUUAUGCCGCAUGGCAUAAGAGUGAAAGGCGCUUUCGGGUGUCGCGGAUGGAUGGACCCGCGGUGCAUUAGCUAGUUGGUGAGGUAACGGCUCACCAAGGCCACGAUGCAUAGCCGACCUGAGAGGGUGAUCGGCCACACUGGGACUGAGACACGGCCCAGACUCCUACGGGAGGCAGCAGUAGGGAAUCUUCGGCAAUGGACGAAAGUCUGACCGAGCAACGCCGCGUGAGUGAAGAAGGUUUUCGGAUCGUAAAACUCUGUUGUUAGUGAAGAACAAGGACGUUAGUAACUGAACGUCCCCUGACGGUAUCUAACCAGAAAGCCACGGCUAACUACGUG
rnacentral:rRNA from 1 species